GAUGAACGCUGGCGGCGUGCUCAACACAUGCAAGUCGAACGAUGAACCGGGUGCUUGCACUCGGGGCUUAGUGGCGAACGGGUGAGUAACACGUGAGCAACCCGCCCCUGACUCUGGGAUAAGCGCGGGAAACGGCGUCUAAUACUGGAUAUGUCCCGUCACCGCAUGGUGGGCGGGUGGAAGGAGUUUUCGGUUGGGGAUGGGCUCGCGGCCUAUCAGCUUGUUGGGGAGGUAAAGGCUCACCAAGGCGUCGACGGGUAGCCGGCCUGAGAGGGUGACCGGCCACACUGGGACUGAGACACGGCCCAGACUCCUACGGGAGGCAGCAGUGGGGAAUAUUGCACAAUGGGCGGAAGCCUGAUGCAGCAACGCCGCGUGAGGGAUGACGGCCUUCGGGUUGUAAACCUCUUUUAGCAGGGAAGAAGCGAGAGUGACGGUACCUGCAGAAAAAGCACCGGCUAACUACGUGCCAGCCGCCGCAGUAA
rnacentral:rRNA from 1 species